UUCCUCGUAGUUCAACGGCAGAACGCCGCACCGUUAAUGCGGAUGCUCCAGGUUCGAAUCCUGGCGGGGAAG
rfam:Actinomadura sp. CNT-125 NODE_274_length_10236_cov_50.4041_ID_14481, whole genome shotgun sequence.